CUGAUUGGACAUUAGAAUAAAGAAGUUCCUCUUUUCUGUGGGUCACUAAUCUGGGAGGAUACAAAAUAGGAAUUGAAGUAAAUCAAUCUGUAGUAGGAGAAAAUGAGGCCAUUCUCCCCAUACCUAGAAGGGGACAAAGCUUAGAGACGGAGUCUAAGAUCUAAAUCUUCAGGCAUGGUUUCAUCCAUGAUAAAGGCAGCAUCAUUCCUUAACUUCCCAGUUAGUAAGUCCCUUUUGGUUUAAACUACCAUUUAUACCACUUGGAAUCAAAUGAUUUGCAGUAGGCAGAACAUUUUCGCCCUCUGAUGCUGCUCCUGUGAAUGUUAUGCUACAUAGAAAAAGGGACUUCACAAAUGUAAUUAAGGUUGCUAAUCAGCUAGUCUUAAAAUAAGGAGACUAUCCGGAAUUAUCUGGGGCUGGCCUGAUCUAAUCACACAAACCCUAAAAAUGCAGAGAUCUUUCUGCCUUGUAGCAGAAGAGUAAGUCAGAGAUUUGAGGUGCUAUUGGCGGGUUGAAGAUGAAUCACAUGUCAAGGAAAUGAGAAUCUUAGUCCUACAUUAACAAGGAAAUGAAUUCUACCUCAAAGUGGAACCUUCCUCAGAACUUCUAGAUAAAGUCCCAGCCCAGCUAAUACCUUGAUGUCUGCUUUAUGAUCUCUGAGUAGAGAUAUUUUGAGAGAUGUUAUGCCUGCACCUCUGACCCACAGAAUUUCAAGAUAGUGAGUAUCAUUUUAAGCCUGUGAAUUUGUGGUUAUUUGUUACAGCAGCAAUAGAAAACUAAUAUAUGGGCCAAAUAAGUGGUACUUUUUCAUUCAGCAACAUUUAUGGAGCCCCUGCCUGGUGUCUAAAUGUCUAGAGCCACAUGGACACACACACUCAAUACUACUAAAAGUAAGAAGUUAUACAAGGCUCCUCUUCGAGGCUUUAUGGCCUGUUGAUAAAGAAUGUUUGCUCCAAUACUAAGUUCCAUGUUUUAUUCGUCUGUUUGGUGAAAACUUCCUGGCACACAAUAGGUAUCAGCUCCUAUUUGUUCUAUUAAGCUGAAUGAUUUUAUAAUACUGUUGGCUCAACAGUACACAGUGCUAGAGAGUAAAAAGCUAAAGACUUCAUUGUAUGUUGAAAAUCAUGCUUUAGAGAAUACUUUCUGGUUCCUGGUUUGGCUUUCAAUUUAUAUUAUAGGUAAAGAUGAGAAAAAUCUUUUAAAUGCAAUGGGUGUUUUCUCUCUCGUAAAAUACAGUAUUUCUACUUUGGUUCUGGAACUAAGAUUAACUGUGAGUCUUUAUGGCUCAUGAUUCAAAUUCUCUAAACAUCAGCAUAUGAUUCAGGUGUAAAGCAAACUCAGCAAUUAUAUCUGCUCAAAAUUUUAAUAUAAUUAUGCAUAAUUAGUGCUCUUGCCUUAGUGUGACUCAUAUUAGUGUCCAAUCCAGUUACCAAUAUUUAUCCCCCUGUAACUACUCCAGAUUGUACAGGGUGUCCUGGUCCUGCCUUUGCAUUUUGAUACUCUAGAAUAAAGUUCACACAUAUGCCAGGCAGGUGUCUGAAGCCUGCCUCCUCAUUCUUUUGAUCUCCACUAGUUCAGUUAUCAGUUCCUCUCCUGGGGCUGGUUUUGGGAACUUGCAAACAACUGGUCCUGUACACUUUGCACUAACUCCAAACUGUCUCCUGACUGGCUUAUUUCCCCUCCUUUUACCACCUAUCUCUCAGUUGAGAAUGGGGAUGCACCUUACAUGACCCCAAGCUCUCUUUCCUUAUGAUUCUUGUACUUGUGAGGAAAUAUCCAAGUGCUCAUAAAUGUUUCUAUCUUUCCAUAGGGUAGUUAACUACUGUUUCAUAAUUCAGAGCUGUUAAGAGUUUAGGGUUUCAGUAACUUUGAUCCAUAUAACAUAUCUGGUCAAAACCAAACAAAUAAAUAAAAGAACUGUUCUAUCAUGAUUGAUUCUGUUUUUACAGAUGUGCCAUUCUUAACAUACUGCUGUCCUUGGAAUCAUAGCUUCACAUCUGAAAAGGGGCAAUAGCAUUAAGUAGCAGUUUGGGUCUUUCUUUGACAUAUUCCCUUGAGAAGUGUUAAAUGUUGCCAUUCUUGACAGUUCAAAAGCAAGUCAUAUGGUUGAUAUUUUGCCAAUGAGAUAAAUGUGGAAAAAUGUCACUUUUCCUUUAAUUAGUUGUCAGUAGAAACUUGGCAAGAGAUGAUAGUAAGGAGAUAUUGGCAUUUAGGCAUGUUCAUAUUUACUUUUGUGAUUUAGAAUUAUGACGACUUUCAUGUAUCCUUACAGUGACCCUGUCUGGUUUAGAACUUCUGAAAUUCCAGCAUCAAACCUCUUUCCCAUUCCUCCAGACAGAGACAGCAACAUUCACCAACAUUGGAGUUUUGAUCAGAUACAGACUCUAAGAUGCAAAUAUCCUACUUCUGCUUCAAAAAGAGAAAAUGGGAAUUGGAAGGAGAACACAAGUCUUAAAGAGACAAGGGAAUGAAUGCCCAUGGAAGUUUCUCCAUUUCCUCAGCCUCUCACUCACUGCCUAGCUCCCAGCAUCAAAGAGCAGCUAUGACAUAGCCCUUUAAAGACAGAUUGCUUGUUCUUGGAAUUUGGCAGAGAAGAAGGCAAGACUUCAUAACCAGAGAUUCUGAUCCAGUGGUGAUAUCAGAAUUUUAGAAGCUCCUUGGAUAAUUCCUGCUCAAUUUGAGGACCAUUGCCCUAAGCUUGUUGUGCCAUACAGCCUUGUCUAAUGGCACUAUGGAAAAAGAGAAAGGAUAGGGUAUUAAUUGCAUCUUGUUCAACCUGAUUGUCUUCAGGAGAACUGGAAAGAGUGGCUUCAUUGAGACAAUGAAGGCAUUAUGGAUUCAAGAUUCAUACCUAUUCUAUGAAGGAUCAGUGAAAGGUUGGCCAUAGUUCACCUAUGUGGAAACUUGGGGUUUUGAUUACAGAACAUUGGUCAUCAAUUCUGGUGUGCAUUCAAAUGAUCUAUGGACCUCUUUCAAAAAUCUCUGUAUCUGGCCCAUCCUCCUGAGAUGAACUUAAGAAAACCCUGAACACCAUCAGAUCUGAAUUUCUGACCUGUUAUCAUUUUCUUCUCCCUGAAGAACUUCUUUGAACAAUUCUUACAAGUUAUUAAAACUACUUGACGGGUCCAAUAUCCGGCUGGAGUCUUCUACUGGCUUGAAGCAAGCAAGAGUUCUGAGUGUUUUUUGUCCAGAAGAACUUGGCUCGAGAUCAUUUUUGGCUGUGCUCAAAGUUGAGUAACUGGGACAUGAAAGUAGGGCUGCUCAAAAAAAGAGGGCCAAUGAGCACAGCCUGCCGCCUUGGGCAAUGUUGUCCUGGUCAGAGCCCUACUCAAGAAUUUAUGUCAUUUGAAAGCAUUCAGAAAGGAACGCUGUGCCUUGUGGACAGAACACCUUGAUUUUAGCCCAGCAAGAUCCGUGACAGACUACUGACCUCCAGAACUGUAAGCUAACAAAUUUUCAUUGUUUUAAACUGUGAGGUUUGUAGUCAUUUGCUAUGACAGCAAAGAAAACUAAUUCAGCAUAUUAAAUUUCAUGAACUAUUGCUAUAUUUCCCUCCAAAGUGCUAUACUGUGCUAUCAGUGUAUGAGAGUCUCUGAGACCCCUUAACCUUUGUAAACCUAGAUUAUAGUCAGACUUAAAUUUUUGUCUGCUGAGUUUGUAAAGCUGUGUCGUUCUAAUUUGGGCACGGUUUUACCUUUCAUUUCCCUAAUAAUAUGUGGGGUGGAGCAUCUUACUUCUAUUUUAUUGGCUAUUUGAACAUCUCUUCUUGAAUAUCUUGCUCAUGUAUAUUGCCCUUUAUUCCUAUUGGGGUGUUACUCUUACUUAUUUGUAAUCAUUUAUACAUUCUGAAUACAAAAUCCUUAUUGGUGACACUCCAUGCAUGUAUAAAUUCCCAUUCUGCAGCUUCCUUUAACUGUGUGGUAUUUUAUUAAACAGAAAGUUUUAAUUGACAUGUAGAUAAAUGUGACAGUUUUUAACUUAAUUAGUUAUGCAUGUUAGGUCUUAUCUAAUAUCU